rnacentral:rRNA from 1 species
UGUGUAGGUGGCGCCGUAAGUCGGGUGUGAAAUUUCGGAGCUUAACUCCGAAACUGCAUUCGAUACUGCGGUGCUUGAGGACUGGAGAGGAGACUGGAAUUUACGGUGUAGCAGUGAAAUGCGUAGAUAUCGUAAGGAAGACCAGUGGCGAAGGCGGGUCUCUGGACAGUUCCUGACACUGAGACACGAAGGGCCAGGGGAAGGCAAAACGG